AAAUAAGUUUAGUAUGCAGACGUUAGUCAGUGUGUAUUUUAGUUCUUCCUUCUCUCUGAUAUGAUGACCACUAGUUUACAGGGUUUAUUGUAAUUUUCCUUCAUUUCACUCUAAAACUGUGAGACUAAACGGGGACUUGUUUGGGUUUCAACAAGUUCCUGUGUGUGAACAUGGUGACAGUCGGCAUGUUGCUGAUUGUCCUCUUUGUUCCAGGUGCUUUGGCUGAUUGUCCUGAUGAUGCAGACCUCUUCAUAACUGCACCAAAGCAGCUGGAAGCACUGAGUGGAUCUUGUUUGCAAAUCCCAUGUAGCUUCAGACCCAAAGAAGAACAGAAAUUUAUCAGCACAAGAAAAACCUUUGGAGUGUGGAUUAAAAAUGAUGAUAGAUUUGACAGAAAUCCAAACAAUGUUAUCUUCAACAGUAAUGGAGCAGUUAGCAUCUAUCCAAUGAGUAUUACUGGGAACCUGAGUCAGAGAGACUGCACCACUCUGUUUUCUAAUUUAACCACCACAUACACAGACACAUACUUCUUCAGAGUAGAGAGAGAACCAUUCAAGGCGACAGCUCGUUGUGAUCCAUUUCAAAUAACAGUCAGAGAUUCUCCUUGGAGGCCCAAUAUUACAAUCCCAGGUGAUCUGAAGGAGAAGGAGUCUGUCACUAUAACCUGCUCAGCUCUCACUCCCUGUCCACACUCCCCUCCUCAACUCACCUGGAAUCUCACACAAGACUCUCACAACAAAAUAGAGGAAAACACAGAUGGAAGCUUUACAACUAAAAUCCAGCAGACCAUCACUCUGUCAGACACACAUGACGGAAAGAAGAUCAGCUGCUCUGCCAGAUAUCCUGUGAACCAAGGAAACAACAAGACAGCAGAGACAGAAGAGACUCUCAGUGUUUCAUAUGCUCCUAAAGACACCUCAGCAUCCAUCAGUCCAUCAGGUUUGGUGUCAGCAGGCAGCUGGGUGAACCUGACCUGCUCCAGCAGAGCCAAACCUCCAGUCAGCAGCUUCACCUGGUUCAAGAAGAGCAGAGAUGGAGCUGUGAAAGUAUCUGAAGGAGAGAUUUACAGCUUCAGUGUAACAGAUGGAGGAGUUUAUUACUGUGUGGCCACUAAUGAUCUGGGUAAUCAGACAUCAGCAGAGAUUCAUCCAACAGGAACACAUCAGCCUUUAUCAUGGGGGGCUGCUGUAGGAGGGAUCACUGGGAUCAUCGUACUCAUCUGUAUGGUUUUUGUGUUUUGGCGACUAAAAUCAACACGUCAAGCUUCACAUCAGGCACAGAAUCUGUGUCUUCAAGAAAAUGAGGACGGCUAUUAUGAAGAGAUUUUCUUCUCCAACCAGAGACCUUCUUUAGACUGAAUGUAGGACAGCAAGUAGGCAACAGUGUAACACAGACAGCUAAUCGGGUUGUGUCGGUACCUAUGUAAUUGGCAGGCUGCACAUCUGGAAAGGCACCAUCACUGCUGAUACAUAUUACAGCAAGAUGAAUCACAUAAUGUAUCUAUUACACCUGCUUGAACUCAUAGUAAAAGAAUCUGGGUGCUGCACUGGUCUGCCCGCAGUCCAGACCUUUAACCACCUGGAAACAUUUGGCACAUUUUGAAACCAAAAAUAUGACAAACCGAACACUGUUGAACCCUAUGUGACAAGACUGGGACAACAUUCUUUUCCAAAAAGUUACGCAAAUGCUCUCCUCUGUUCCCCGAGUUUUACUGACUGCUGUUAAAAGAACAGGAAAUGCUGAAUGUCUCUGUUUUUUGGGGGGGAACAUGUUUUGCCAUCAAACUCAGUAUGACCUUUUUCUGUCUCUUAAAAUAGUACAUUUCCUGACUUUAACCAUUUGAUAUGUGUUCUAUG